UACGAAGGGUGCAAGCGUUACUCGGAAUUACUGGGCGUAAAGCGUGCGUAGGUGGUUUGUUAAGUCUGAUGUGAAAGCCCUGGGCUCAACCUGGGAACGGCAUUGGAAACUGGCUUACUAGAGUGCGGUAGAGGGGUGUGGAAUUCCCGGUGUAGCAGUGAAAUGCGUAGAUUAUCGGGAGGAACAUCUGUGGCGAAGGCGGCCAGCUGGGCCGGUUCUGGACGCUGAGGCGGCGAAAAGCG
rnacentral:rRNA from 1 species